AAGUCGUAACAAGGUUUCCGUAGGUGAACCUGCGGAAGGAUCAUUAACGAGUAAACAGGGGAGUUGUAGCUGGCCGCAAGGCAUGUGCACGCUCUCUACUCAAUCCAACCUUACACCUGUGCACCUAUUGUAGGUCGAGUGGCUGGACUUGUUCUGGUCGCUCUUCCUAUGUUUUACACAUACACUUGUAGUCUCAGAAUGUAAUCCGCGUAUAACGCAUUAUAAAACAACUUUCAACAACGGAUCUCUUGGCUCUC
rnacentral:misc_RNA from 2 species